ensembl:antisense Sap30bpos SAP30 binding protein, opposite strand
GCCCUCAGCAGUGAGAUGCCGAAAAGAACAGAGGCUUGGCAUAAAUAAGCCAGCUUGCUGGGGUCAGUGGAAGAAGCCUUGCUGUCCCCAGGAAGCGGCUCCUACGCAAUGGAUACAGAGGCUCGGCCAGAGACAGAGCCGACAGGCAGAAGGAAGGAAGAGCCUUCCAGACCCACGGAGCUGGAGAGACUGCCGUGUGAGCCAAGAGGAUCUAUGCACUGGGUAGCAGCAGGCUCUGGCUGACUGAAUGGCAGUGUAUAUACAGCCAGCCUCCAUCAGCCCUUUGGGGAACCAUGAGUCACGGCAUAUGUAGCCUCAGGCGUGUGGAUUCUGCCAGUCCACAUGCCAUGCUUUCUUCACAGCACUGGGAGCGUUAAGUACAGGGAAGGCAUUGGGCACAGGGCAGCAUGCAAGGGGCAGGGCAGGCAAAGCAGACUGCUCCUGGCUGGACACUAUAACCUGGCAGUGGGGAGGACUGGAGAAGUGGCCCCAAGCAAGCCCCUGAAGCCAUAAAGUCCUAAGGCCAUUUUAUUUAAUGAGCAGACUUGACUAAAAUAAUGGAAAGCUCACACCUGUAAUCCCAGCACUGAAGAUGCAGAGAGAGUUGGGUUGCUGAGUUCAAGGCUUGUCUAGGUUGACCAAAGCAAAGCAAAGCAAAGCACAGCAAACAAUCCAUUAUCUCCCUCCCGAAUGAAUCGUCACAGCAGCCCAGCCCCUACUGAAGGCUCCUGUCCCCCGUCCACAGGCCUGCUCUCUGCUACCCCUAACCUAGAAAGCACACCAUAUGCAAAGCUCAGACUUCGGCCUGAGAAAUGUCCUUGCACUUUUACCUUCCUGACAGGUGAGGAUCUUCCACAACACCUUCUGUGCUCUCAACAUGCCUGGCCACCACAGGUGCUGCAUACAGCCGUCGCCUGCCACUGUUCUUCAGUGUGGAGCAGGGUUUACUGGCUACCUUCAGCUGCUAUGUAAUAGAGAACCCAGGUGCCAAACAUGUUUAGCACUAGCUAGUUCCAAUGUCUGGGCUCCCUGAAAACAUGAGAAAGAGGCAGAAGGUAGCUAAAAAGGGGUCUAAGAAAGAAAGGCUGAUUGAUGUGAGACUGGGAGAAGGCAGGGAGGGGCACUAAAGGUCACUUCUUGCUCUACACCUUUUCUGCCUGUCUAAGACAGGGUCUUGCCUUUUUAGCCCAGAACUUCUGAACUUACGGACCUUCCCGCCUCAGUCUCUGGAGUGCUAGAAAUCUAGGCCUGUACCACCGUAUCAUAUCCUGCAGCUUCUCUCAGGAUUCAACCUAAUGCUUUUAAAUCCUGAGACAAAGCCGGGGUGGGGAGCAGGACAAGAUUAAGCUGGGUGUGGUGGCACUUGUCAGAAGUCCUACCUACACUAAUAGGCUAGUCACUUUAGCGCAGGUGUAAGGCCAGUCUGGGUAACUAGCAAAACCCUGCCUCAAGGCAAACCUACACAGAUAAAGAACAAAGCCGUAAGUAGCAAAAGACAGUUACUGGACAGCUAGUUCACUUACUUAUUCCAUAAAUAAUUCACUGAAGAUUUAUUCUGUCACAGACAACAGGCCAAGCAGCCAGGCUAAAAUUAAAAAAAAAAAUUGAUAGUGGGGAACCAUUUAGGUUUUAUGGUAAGGCCUUCUACUAAUGAUCUCAUUUAGUUCUCACAAUAGCCAGCAAAGUGUUCUGAACCACCAGGCCACACUACUGCUUCACUGUGGUGUCACCCCGGGAGCCCUCCUGGGAGCCUGAGAACAGCCACCAAAAGGGGCUCUGUGUGGCGGCACACACCUGUAAUCACUGCACUUGGGAGGUGGAGGCAAGAGGAUCGAUCAGAAGUUCAAGGCCAACCUGAGCUGCACGAGGUCUUGUCUCAAUCCUCUCCCCACCCACCCGCAAAGGCUCCCCAAGAGGCAUGAAUGGGACGUGUGGAGGACAGCCCUGUGACUUAGUGACGCCACAAAAAGUCAGUACUGUGUGAACAUUGCCACUGUGCUCUGUAGCCGGCUCCCACACAGGAGCGCUCUGGAGAAAUCCCAUGAGCAGUACAUUUCCUCCAGUUGUGUCCUGUGGACCAGGCCGGGGCCCUUGCUCAGGCUCGAGGCCCAGCCAGGGAUGGAGACACUGCACUUAGCUGGAAAAUGAGCGGAAGUUGGUGGGGCCACAAUGGAUGCACUGCAGUUGCCCUGACUCCAGAAGCUCAGACAGGAAGGCUCGGCUCACCAACCAGAGCCAGAGGUGGCUCCUACAGGAAGGGUUAAAUAGGAGUCUGCCAAUAGAAAAGGCAGGGAGGGGAAGGAAAUGGCUUCUUUCUCUCCUGAAAACCUGAUUAAAACAAAGCUGUAUGGC